rnacentral:lncRNA from 1 species
CUUCCUCUGUUUUUUUUUGUUCUCUCUUCCUCCUCUUGAUUCGUUGCGUCCUCUGCCUUUUGUAGGCUUUUCUUGCGCAAGACUGAUCCUUAUCUUCCCCUGGACACUGAUCUUCAUGUGGAGAUAGAACUUGAGACUCCGUGUUUUGGUUGGAUUGGGACACUAACAGUCCUGCCAUUGCUGGUUAUGGCGGCGAAGGAAACGGCAACGAACUGAGAAACUGGUGAUGGAAGUCGUAGGGAUUGCAAAGUGUCUUUGAGUUGCCU